UACAGAGGGUGCAAGCGUUGUUCGGAAUUACUGGGCGUAAAGGGUGCGCAGGCGGCCGUGUGUGUCAGAUGUGAAAGCCCGGGGCUUAACCCCGGAAUUGCGUCUGAAACUACAUGGCUAGAGCAUUGGAGAGGGUAGCAGAAUUCAUGGUGUAGCAGUGAAAUGCGUAGAUAUCAUGAGGAAUACCAGAGGCGAAGGCGGCUACCUGGACAAUUGCUGACGCUCAGGCACGAAAGCGUGGGGAGCAAAAGGG
rnacentral:rRNA from 1 species